UUGGAGGAUUUAAAGACUUAAACUUGCAGAGUUGAAGGAUUCGAAGACUUCAACUUGUAUACUUGUAGAAUUUGAAGACUUCCAAUU
rnacentral:pre_miRNA from 1 species